rnacentral:rRNA from 1 species
UAGGGAAUCUUCCGCAAUGGACGAAAGUCUGACGGAGCAACGCCGCGUGAGUGAAGAAGGAUUUCGGUUCGUAAAACUCUGUUGUUAGGGAAGAAAAAAUGUAUAGUAACUAUAUACAAAAGAGACGGUACCUAACCAGAAAGCCACGGCUAACUACGUGCCAGCAGCCACGGUAAUACGUAGGUGGCAAGCGUUGUCCGGAAUUAUUGGGCGUAAAGCGCGCGCAGGUGGUUUAGAAAGUCUGAUGUGAAAGCCCACGGCUCAACCGUGGAGGGUCAUUGGAAACUAAUAAACUUGAGUGCAGGAGAGAAAAGUGGAAUUCCUAGUGUAGCGGUGAAAUGCGUAGAGAUUAGGAGGAACACCGGUGGCGAAAGCGGCUUUUUGGCCUGCAACUGACACUGAGGCGCGAAAGCGUGGGGAGCAAACAGG